CUGCAGCAUGUAGGAUCUUAGUUCAUCGAUCAGGGAUUGAACCCGCAUCCCCUGCAUUGGAAGGCAGAUUCUUAACCACUGGACCACCAGGGAAGUCCCUGGAGCUUCUUUUUAGGAGAUGAAAAUGUUCUAAAAUUGACUGUGGUGAUGGUUACACAUAUGUGUGAGUACACCAAAAAUCAUUGAAUUGUAAAUUUUAAAUGGGUGAAUGGUUUAGUAUGGAAUUAUUUCUCAACAAAGCUGUUUUUUCAAAGAUGAAAAAGCAAAAAAUAAGAAAAGAAAAAACAAAAAAAGACCAAAAAAAUGAAAAAGCAUGUAUUAUUAUGUCACAUAUUUUAAAUGUCUUGAGACAUCUUAGCUAUUUCAUCAAACCACUUCCAACCCUGCACAGGUCAGGCCCUACACUGCUCUGGGACUCUGAGGCUGCUGUAGCCCAGCCCCAGACUGAUCCCUGUUCCCAGAGACAGUGCAGCACAUGGCUCACGCCCCUGCUCUGUGCAAGGUGGCCACUUCCUGUUGGGAGGAGAGCCUGCUUCCCCACCCCCUUUGCAUCUGGGCUGGCCCUGUGGCUGGUUGUGUCUGCACAAACGCUGGGUAACAUCCUCAUCUGGGCCUUAGAGAUCUGCACUUCUGCCUUUGCCGUUUGGGAUGCACGGGCUUGGACUUUCCUUUCCAUGUAAAGAAGCCUAAGGCAGCCACAGAGAAAGAGAAAGAAAGAGCCACCAGCCCCCAGCUUAUCCCUACCAAAGCACCAGAAGUGUGGGUAGUCAUCUCGAGAGUUCCAGCCCCAGCUUAUGCCUCAAGGAGCAGAAGUGCCACCAGCUGAACCCUGCCCAACUCCGACUCAGCAAAGAGUCAGCAGAAAAUAUCCUGGCUGUUGGUUGAAGCCGUUGAGAUUUGGGGUAGUUUGUUGAGAUGCCUCCCACUCAACCCAGCCUGGCUCAACUGAGCUCAUCUGAGAUGUGGAAUCCCUUGGCUUCUCAGUGGCCAAGCCAGGGCUCAAGUAGAAGAGUGGCCCUAGGUCCACUGCUCCUCCGACCACAGUUCCCUGCAUCCUCUUCUGGCCAGGAUCUGUGCAGCUUCUGUGUGAAGACUUCAGGCUCACAGGUCCACAUCAGGGUCCACCUCCAGGAAACCCAGCCUCAGACAGGAAGAUACCAGAAGGAAGCACUUUAUGACCACAUUUGAUACAGCAGAGCACAAAUACGAGGCUGUUCAUUUCUCCUCUGAUGCUGACUCUCCUCCCGCGUCCGGCACUAAACGUGGAAGCACUUUAUCAAUACAUUUGCUCGUUGACAACCUGAUCCAGUUGGAGUUCAUUUUUCUGUGUAGUGUGAGGUAGGAUACAGAACCGUGUAUUCGCAAGACCUCCAGAAGGGGCCUCCUGCCACUGGGCCUGUUUCCAUCUUCAGAUGAGGCCUCCCAGGUGGGUCCUUUCCAUUUUUUACAAAAUAUUUAUUUAUUUAUUAUUUAGGCUGCGCUGGGCCUUAGUUGUGGCAUGCGGGACCUUUUUGCGGCAUGCAUGUGGGAUCUAGUUCCCUGACCAGGGAUUGAACCCUGGCCCCCUGCAUUGGGAGCAUGGAGUCUUACCCACUGGACCACCAGAGAAGUCCCUCCUUUCCAUUAUUAAUACUCUGUUACUUAGCAGAGUUCUCCUGAGCCCCCUAGAUGGAGCACCGAUGCCUCCUCUCCUGCCUGCUUGGGGAGCUUGGCCCGGGAGCCUCACACUGAGGUGACCCUCAGAGUGGGUAGGGCUGGUGGGGGACCGCUGAGCCCAGCCUGGGGCAGGGAUGGAUCUCGGCUGGAACAGUCUGCGGGGCUCAGUGCUGACCACAGCUGCUGUCCCCAGCAUGAUCUGGGUCAGUACAGUGCACUAAAAUCGAAGCUCAGCAAAAUCCAGAAUUGGUCUCUGUCCCUUUAAAUUGAGAACCUGGGAGCCCCCUGCGGCCACGGGUGAGGGGGGUCCAGCCUAGAUUCCAGAGGAAUAAAGGGUCUCUUUCAAGGGUUCACACCUGGGGCUUCCUCCCCCCACCC